rnacentral:rRNA from 1 species
GACGAACGCUGGCGGCGUGCUUAACACAUGCAAGUCGAACGGAAAGGCCCUGCUUUUGUGGGGUGCUCGAGUGGCGAACGGGUGAGUAACACGUGAGUAACCUGCCCUUGACUUUGGGAUAACUUCAGGAAACUGGGGCUAAUACCGGAUAGGAGCUCCUGCUGCAUGGUGGGGGUUGGAAAGUUUCGGCGGUUGGGGAUGGACUCGCGGCUUAUCAGCUUGUUGGUGGGGUAGUGGCUUACCAAGGCUUUGACGGGUAGCCGGCCUGAGAGGGUGACCGGCCACAUGAGAACUGAGAUACGGCCAGGACUCCGACGGAAGACAGCAGACGGGUAUGUUGCACAAUGGGCGGAAGCCUAAUGCAGCAUCGCCGCUUGCGGAAUAAGUGCCUUCGGGUUGUAAUCCGCUGUCGCCUGUGACGAAGCGUGAGUGACGGUAAUGGGUAAAGAAGCACCGGCUAACUACGUG